GAUAGAACGCUAGCGGCAGGCCUAACACAUGCAAGUCGAGGGGCAUCGCGGUGCAGCAAUGCACUGGCGGCGACCGGCGUACGGGUGCGUAACGCGUAUGCAACCUGCCCCGCACCGGGGGAUAGCCCGCCGAAAGGCGGAUUAAUACCCCAUGGUCCCGGGGGCCCGCAUGGGCAUCCGGGUAAAGCCUUGGCGGUGCGGGAUGGGCAUGCGUGCCAUUAGCUGGCUGGUGGGGUAACGGCCCACCAGGGCAACGAUGGCUAGGGGGUCUGAGAGGAUGGUCCCCCCACACUGGUACUGAGACACGGACCAGACUCCUACGGGAGGCAGCAGUGAGGAAUAUUGGUCAAUGGGCGGAAGCCUGAACCAGCCAUGCCGCGUGCGGGAUGAAGGCCCUACGGGUUGUAAACCGCUUUUCCCCGGGAAGAAUAACCCCGAUGAGUCGGGGAUGCCGGUACCGGGGAAUAAGGAUCGGCUAACUCCGUG
rnacentral:rRNA from 1 species